rnacentral:snoRNA from 1 species
UGGCUGUAGCAAUAGAUUUCAAAGUUAACUGGCCGGUUGCUGAGAUCAAUCAGCAUAUCUGCUUACCGAACUACUAACAUAU